rnacentral:tRNA from 1 species
UCCCUGGUGGCUCAGAGGGUAAAGCGUCUGCCUGCAAUGCAGGAGACCUGGAUUCGAUCCCUGGGUGGGGAA